rnacentral:rRNA from 1 species
AUGAGUACGCUAAUUUGGAACUGCCGAGGGCUUGGGAACCCUUGGUCAGUUCGAGAGCUUCGCAAAGUGGUGAAGCAAGAAGGUCCCGCCCUUUUAUUUGUAGUGGAAACUAAAAUAAAGGGCAAGAAAGUGGAGGAACUGAAGAUCUCCCUAGGUUUUUCCGGGUGUUUUGCCGUCGACAGUGGCGGGCUUAGUGGUGGUAUAGGUUUGUUUUGGAUAAGAGAUGUUGAUGUUACUUUACAAAAUUUCAGCAAGGCUCAUAUUGAUGUAACUGUCAAGCAGGAAAACAAUGAAUGGCGGUUUACUGGCUUUUACGGAGCGCCACGAGUGGAGAACCGACACCACAGUUGGCGUUUUCUGCGUACCCUGUUCGCUCUUCCGCACCAAGCGUGGAUCUGUAUGGGAGAUUUUAACGAAACUUUGUUUGCAGAAGAGCAUUUUGGAACAAAUGCGAGGCCUGAGAGCCAAAUGAGAGCAUUCCGAGAAGCAGUAGAGGAAUGUUCUCUCCAGGAUCUAGGGUGGAGGGGGUCCCAUUCACAUGGGAUAAUAGGCAAUCUGGAGCUGCCAAUGUGA